rnacentral:lncRNA from 1 species
UCAAGAGAUGAGUUUGGGAACUACAAGGAGAAGAAGAAGGUGAAUUUGUGGUCAGGUCGUAAGUUAGCUUCCGGUCCAAGUCGUAGAGGUUGUGGCCACUGAAUUUUUAGUUGGGGGUAACAAGAUUAUAAUUUAAGAUAUUUAAUUUUAUUCUCUAAUUUAGGUUUCUUGGUAUCGUUUAGUAAUAUGAGUAUUGUAGUGGGUUCUUAUAACUUAAUGAAAGGAUUGGAGUUUUCAUACGAAAUUCGCUUCAUUAUAAAAUAUAUAAGAUUUUUUUAAUUUUGUUCAUUGCAUUGUUUAAGAACAAAAUGCUCUCUGUUUUCAUUUGCUUUACCGAAAAGAAGAUUUCUUUUUUUUUUUGGUCGGCACCGAAAAGAAGAUUUCUGUUUUCACAUCAAGGGCUCUUAUGACGUAAUGACAAAAAUUUUAAAACCGUAAAAAAAAAAAAUCAAAAUCUUAAAACCUUUUAAAAACAAAUUGUAUAAACUUGUAGUAUAUUAAAUGUACAAAACGAUGCGAAACCAAGUUGGACUUGUAGAAUCGGCUAACGAUCAAUGACUAGGUCAAAUGACAGGAUCCAAAAUCCGGUUAGUUUUCACAUUAUUUUGCAAAUCCAUUAUACAAGCUUUCUUUAAAAAAAAAUCGUUAGAACUUUUUUAAAAACAAAUAAUUAAAAUUGUAAAAACUUUAAAACCGUAAAAAAGAAAAAAAAAUCAAAAUCAAAAAACUUUUUAAAAACUUGUAUAUUAGAUCUACAAAACGAUGCGAAAACAAGUUGGACUUGUGGAAUCGACUAACGAUCAAUGACUAGGUCAAAUGACAAGAUCUAAAAUCCGGUUAGUUUUCACAUUAUUUUGCAAAUCCAUUAUACAAGCUUUCUUUUUAAAAAAAUCUUUAAAACCUUAUUAGAAACAAAUAGUUAAAUUUUAAGAACUUUAAAAACCGUAAAAAAGAAAAAAAUCAAAAUUAAAAACCUUUUUAAAAAUAAAUUAAAAACUUGUAUAUUAGAUCUACAAACGAUGCGAAAACAAGUUGGACUUGUGGAAUCGGCUAACGAUCAAUGACUAGGUCAAAUGACAAGAUCCAAAAUCCGGUUAGUUUUCACAUUAUUUUGCAAAUCUAUUAUCCAAGUUUUUUUUGAAAAAAAAAUCUUUAAAACCUUUUUAAAAAUAAAUAAUAAAAAUUUUAAAAACUUUAAAACCAUAAAAAAGAAAAAAAAAAAGAAAAAUCAAAAACCUUUUUAAAAACUUGUAUAUUAGAUCUACAAAACGAUGCAAAAACAAGUUGGAUUUGUGGAAUCGGCUAACGAUCAAUGACUAGGUCAAAUGACAGGAUCCAAAAUCCGGUUAGUUUUCAAAUUAUUUUGCAAAUCUAUUAUCCAAGCUUUCUUUAAAAAGACUUUUUUAAAAACAAACAAUUAAAAUUUUAAAAACUUUAAAACCAUAAAAAAGAAAAAAAAUUGAAAUUGAAAUUUUUUUUAAAACAAAUCAAAAACUUGUAUAUUAGAUCUACAAAAUGAUGCAAAAAACAAGUUGGAUUUGUGGAAUCGGCUAACGAUCAAUGACUAGGUCAAAUGACAGGAUCCAAAAUCCGGUUAGUUUUCACGUUAUUUUGUAAAUUUAUUAUCCAAGCUUUUUUAAAAAAAAAUCGAAAAAAGGAAAAAAAAAUCAAAACCUAACGCUUAAAAAUUUUAAAGCUCUAUUAAUUUUCUAAUUAUAAAAAGAGAACAUUAAAUGGAUAGAAAUUGACCUGUGGGUAGUCCUUUGUUCAUGGGCUUCCGAGUUCUUAUGGGCUGGAAACACUUUAUUAUUGGGCUUUCUGAUACCUUUUCACUGGGAAACGAAGAAUCCUUCUCAGAGUCUUCUCUCUGCGUCGUUGAUUCCUGUAAGCGAAGGAUUCAUCGUGGUGGAAGAAGAAGAGUCACCAUCAUCUUCCAUCACCGAUCUUGUUGGCGAAAAACAAACCAAGCGUCUAAUAAGUUGGAGCCAGAGAUGAGGGAAAAUCCACGGAAUUCGAACUUCGAAGAAAUCAAAGAUGAAAUUGUAGAGAAUAGAGGUAAAGAAAGCAGAAAUAGAAUAAGAGAAUCGAAAUUUUAGAGAAAUCGCGCAUCAACACUCUAUAACUCGUGUUUCUUCCUCUCUGUUUUUUUUCUCCGUGGUUUGUGAUUUUGAAACUAAAACAAUUAGACAAAGAGAAGAUGUGAGGCGCAAGAGACUAUUUAUAAACUCAUUUUCUUAUGUGUUUUGGGGUUUCAAAGUUUCCUUUUUUAAAAAAUUCUUCUCUGUUAUUUCCUUUUUUUAUUCUUCUGUGUUAUUUCCUUUUUUUUCUUCUCUGUGUUAUUUCCUUUUUCAAUUUAGUUUGAGAAAAUCCAAAGCAAAACGUGAAUGUUUUCCUUUUUUAACCCUUUGCUUAGAAUCUGCAUUUGUAUGCUUAUUAGAAUCUCUUAAUUAUCUAUCUAUAUUACAAAAAGCAAUGAAUGUUCUUGGUUAGCUUUAAAAAAAAA